rnacentral:rRNA from 1 species
CAGAGAAAUGCGCACUGCGACUGUUUAACAAAAACACAGGUCUCUGCUAAGUCGAAAACGACGUAUAGGGGCUGACGCCUGCCCGGUGCUGGAAGGUUAAAGGGAGAGGUUAGCCGCAAGGCGAAGCUUUGAACUGAAGCCCCAGUGAACGGCGGCCGUAACUAUAACGGUCCUAAGGUAGCGAAAUUCCUUGUCGGGUAAGUUCCGACCUGCACGAAUGGCGUAACGAUCGUACGACUGUCUUAACGAGCGACUCGGCGAAUUUGUAGUACCGGUGAAGAUGCCGGUUUCCCGCAUCUAGACGGAAAGACCCCGUGCACCUUUACUAUACCUUUACUAUGAACUAUGGCACUUGCUGCGCAGGAUAGGUGGGAGGCUUUGAACUCAGGCUUUUGGGCUUGGGGGAGCCAACGGUGAGAUACCACCCUGCGAGUUCUGUGGUUCUAACCUACUCCCGUUACCCGGGAGAGGGACAUAGUAAGGCGGGUAGUUUGACUGGGGCGGUCGCCUCCUAAAUUGUAACGGAGGCGUGCGAAGCUACGCUCAGGCUGUUUGGAAAUCAGCCGUCGAAUGCAAAAGUAUAAGCGUGGUUGACUGUGAGACAGACAAGUCGAGCAGGUACGAAAGUAGGCUUUAGUGAUCCGGUGGUUCUGCAUGGAAGGGCCAUCGCUCAACGGAUAAAAGGUACGCCGGGGAUAACAGGCUGAUCGGAGCCAAGAGUUCAUAUCGACGCUCCGGUUUGGCACCUCGAUGUCGGUUCAUCGCAUCCUGGAGCUGUAGAAGGUUCCAAGGGUUAGGCUGUUCGCCUAUUAAAGCGGUACGUGAACUGGGUUCAGAACGUCGCGAGACAGUUCGGUCCCUAUCUGGUGUGGGCGUAGGAGAUUUGAGAGGGCCUGUCCUUAGUACGAGAGGACCGGGAUGGACGAACCUCUUGUGUUCCAGCUGUCGUGUCAACGGCAUGGCUGGGUAGCGAAGUUCGGUUGUGAUAAACGCUGAAUGCAUAUAAGCGUGAAACACUCCUCAAGAUGAGAUCUCCCAACCCUAAGGGUAAAGAAGGGCACAGGAAGACCACCUGUUUGAUAGGUCCGGAGUGGAAGUGUGGUAACACACGUAGCUUACGGAUACUAAUCGCCCGUUCGGCUUGACCAU